rnacentral:rRNA from 1 species
AAUCAACGCUGGCGGCGUGCCUAACACAUGCAAGUCGCACGAGAAAGGGCAGCAAUGCCUGAGUACAGUGGCGCACGGGUGAGUAACACGUGAAUGAUCUACCUCCGAGUGGGGAAUAACUGAGAGAAAUCUUAGCUAAUACCGCAUAACACUUACGAGUCAAAGACAGCAAUGCGCUUGGAGAGGAGUUCGCGGCAGAUUA